UCCUAGUGGCGAUCUGCGGUACUACCGCUCUCUGGGGUUGAAGGCGGGACUAACCAAAUCAAAAUGGCGGCACCCAUAACUUUCAGGAUGUUAUGCUGGAGUAUUCUUGUCAUAUUUCGGCGUUUGCGGAGAGUUAGGUGAAGAAGGCAACCACCGGUGAACCUAUUUGAGAGAGUCGGAUUUUGGGGAGUUGAUGAUGAGACGAACGAACGUCUACUCCAGGUUUACAGACGUCGGAAACAACAACAGACGCUGAGGUUUAUCACGCUGCUAACCAGAAUCAUCUCCGGAAAUCGUGUGGCACGAACUGUUUGGACGCGAGAGCGGAGCGAACACUGGUGGCUGUAUAUUGUAAGAGAGACGUUCAACCCUCAGCAAUGGAUCGAAAACUUCAGAAUGAGCUACAGAACCUUCCAAUGGCUUUGUGAGUCGCUCAGGCCUUACAUCUCCAAGGAAGAAACCAGGAUGCGACGGCCUAUUCCUGUGGAGCAGAAAGUUGGUGCUGUCUUGUGGUUUCUGGGAACCACAUCAGACUAUCGCACCAUUGCUCACCUUUUUGGAAUAUCCAGAGCCUCACUGUGCAUCUUUGUCAAGGAUGUUUGUGAGGCAAUAUGUUAUCAUCUGACACCACAGUUUGUGAAGCUACCCACUGAUAUAGAGGCUACAAAUAUUAUGGAGUCAUUUAAAGAAAAAUGGGGAUACCCUAUUUGCAUAGGUGCUAUUGAUGGCUCACACAUACCCAUUGUCGCACCGAAUGAGAGCCGAGUAGAUUAUUUUAAUAGAAAGGGCUGGUAUAGCAUUAAUAUGCAAGCACUGGUAGAUGACAGGUACAUGUUUAGAGAUCUCUGUAUUGGAUGGCCAGGAAGCACUCAUGAUGCCCGUGUUUUAGUUAACUCCCAGCUCUACCAGCUUUGGGAAAAUGGUGUGUUCCCCCAUCUUCAAACAGAAAUCGAUGGUGUGAUGGUACCUCCCGUUAUACUUGGCGAUACUUGGUGGUAGAGAACGCUUUUGGGCGGCUAAAAGGGAGAUGGAGAAGGCUUUUGAAGCGAAUUGACAACAACACAUCAAAUGUUCCGAAUGUCAUAGCUGCCUGCUGUACCCUACAUAAUAUCUGUGAGACCCAAGGAGAGGAUUUCCUUGAUCAGUGGGCCAAUGAGGCAAAUCAGCCACCUAGUAACAAUGUGGUUGAUGGAGAAAAUCAUCCUGAUAUUGACAAUGCCCACGAUAUAAGAAAUGCUCUUUGUCGUUACUUUGCUAAUCAAAAUUAGCCAUACAUUGACUGAAGUAUUCCAUGUUUUGUACAUAGUUUAUUACAGUAUAGCUUCAGACAUGUUUUUGAAAUUACUGGUGUGGUGUGUAGUUUGAAAAACUUAAUAAAGAAAACAGAAACAA